GACGAACCGUGCGAACGUUAUUCGGAAUCACUGGGCUUAAAGCGCGUGUAGGCGGAUGGGUACGUCGGUCGCUGAAAUCCCCCGGCUCAACCGGGGAACGGGCGCCGAAACGACCCGUCUCGAGGGACGUAGGGGGACCUGGAACUUCCGGUGGAGCGGUGAAAUGCGUUGAGAUCGGAAGGAACGCCCGUGGCGAAAGCGAGGUCCUGGACGUCUACUGACGCUGAGA
rnacentral:rRNA from 1 species